rnacentral:misc_RNA from 1 species
AGCGAUUAGAAUAAGCAUGGCUGGAUAUCCUACUCGGAGACCAUUCUAUGAAUUUCUAGAUCGUUUUGGCAUCCUUUCUCCUGAAGUUUUAGAUGGAAGUACGGACGAGGUUGCUGCAUGCAAAAGGCUCCUGGAGAAAGUUGGACUUCAAGGCUACCAGAUUGGGAAAACAAAGGUGUUUCUGAGAGCUGGUCAAAUGGCGGAACUGGAUGCUCGAAGAACAGAGGUGUUAGGGAGAUCUGCUAGCAUCAUCCAGAGAAAAGUUCGUUCUUACAUGGCUCGGAGAAGUUUUACAGUGUUACGUCGGUCAACAAUACAGAUACAAUCUCUGUGCCGUGGGGAACUUGCUCGACGUGUAUAUGAGAGCUUGCGGAGGGAAGCAGCUUCUCUUAGAAUCCAGACAAAUGUGCGCAUGCAUAUUGCUAGGAAGGCUUACAAAGAGUUGUGGUCCUCUGCUGUUUCAAUUCAGACAGGAAUGCGUGGGAUGGCUGCACGCAAUGAAGUUCGAUUCAGGAGGCAGACAAAAGCUGCCAUUAUCAUUCAGAGUCAUUCUCGUGCAUUCUUAGCUCGAUUGAAAUACAAGAAACUCAAGAAAGCUGCUAUUACCACUCAAUGUGCUUGGAGAGCUAGAGUUGCUCGUGGAGAACUACGGAAACUUAAGAUGGCUGCAAGG